rnacentral:rRNA from 1 species
GGUUAAGCGACUAAGCGUACACGGUGGAUGCCCUGGCAGUCAGAGGCGAUGAAGGGCGUGCUAAUCUGCGAUAAGCGCCGGUAAGGUGAUAUGAACCGUUAUAACCGGCGAUACCCGAAUGGGGAAACCCAGUGUGACUCGUCACACUAUCAUUAACUGAAUCCAUAGGUUAAUGAGGCGAACCGGGGGAACUGAAACAUCUAAGUACCCCGAGGAAAAGAAAUCAACCGAGAUUCCCCCAGUAGCGGCGAGCGAACGGGGAGGAGCCCAGAGCCUGAAUCAGCAUGUGUGUUAGUGGAAGCGUCUGGAAAGGCGCGCGAUACAGGGUGACAGCCCCGUACACAAAAGCGCAUGUGCUGUGAGCUCGAUGAGUAGGGCGGGACACGUGGUAUCCUGUCUGAAUAUGGGGGGACCAUCCUCCAAGGCUAAAUACUCCUGACUGACCGAUAGUGAACCAGUACCGUGAGGGAAAGGCGAAAAGAACCCCGGCGAGGGGAGUGAAAAAGAACCUGAAACCGUGUACGUACAAGCAGUGGGAGCACAGGUUUACCUGUGUGACUGCGUACCUUUUGUAUAAUGGGUCAGCGACUUAUAUUCUGUAGCAAGGUUAACCGAAUAGGGGAGCCGGAGGGAAACCGAGUCUUAAUUGGGCGUUAAGUUGCAGGGUAUAGACCCGAAACCCGGUGAUCUAGCCAUGGGCAGGUUGAAGGUUGGGUAACACUAACUGGAGGACCGAACCGACUAAUGUUGAAAAAUUAGCGGAUGACCUGUGGCUGGGGGUGAAAGGCCAAUCAAACCGGGAGAUAGCUGGUUCUCCCCGAAAGCUAUUUAGGUAGCGCCUCGUGAAUUCAUCUCCGGGGGUAGAGCACUGUUUCGGCUAGGGGGCCAUCCCGGCUUACCAACCCGAUGCAAACUGCGAAUACCGGAGAAUGUUAUCACGGGAGACACACGGCGGGUGCUAACGUCCGUCGUGAAGAGGGAAACAACCCAGACCGCCAGCUAAGGUCCCAAAGUCAUGGUUAAGUGGGAAACGAUGUGGGAAGGCCCAGACAGCCAGGAUGUUGGCUUAGAAGCAGCCAUCAUUUAAAGAAAGCGUAAUAGNUCACUGNUCGAGUCGGCCUGCGCGGAAGAUGUAACGGGGCUAAACCAUGCACCGAAGCUGCGGCAGCGACGCUUAUGCGUUGUUGGGUAGGGGAGCGUUCUGUAAGCCUGUGAAGGUGUSUCGUGAGGCAUGCUGGAGGUAUCAGAAGUGCGAAUGCUGACAUAAGUAACGAUAAAGCGGGUGAAAAGCCCGCUCGCCGGAAGACCAAGGGUUCCUGUCCAACGUUAAUCGGGGCAGGGUGAGUCGACCCCUAAGGCGAGGCCGAAAGGCGUAGUCGAUGGGAAACGGGUUAAUAUUCCCGUACUUGGUGUUACUGCGAAGGGGGGACGGAGAAGGCUAUGUUGGCCGGGCGACGGUUGUCCCGGUUUAAGCGUGUAGGUGUGUGUUCCAGGUAAAUCCGGUUCACUUUAACACUGAGGCGUGAUGACGAGGCACUACGGUGCUGAAGUAACAAAUGCCCUGCUUCCAGGAAAAGCCUCUAAGCAUCAGGUAACAUCAAAUCGUACCCCAAACCGACACAGGUGGUCAGGUAGAGAAUACCAAGGCGCUUGAGAGAACUCGGGUGAAGGAACUAGGCAAAAUGGUGCCGUAACUUCGGGAGAAGGCACGCUGACACGUAGGUGAAGUGAUUUACUCAUGGAGCUGAAGUCAGUCGAAGAUACCAGCUGGCUGCAACUGUUUAUUAAAAACACAGCACUGUGCAAACACGAAAGUGGACGUAUACGGUGUGACGCCUGCCCGGUGCCGGAAGGUUAAUUGAUGGGGUCAGCGCAAGCGAAGCUCCUGAUCGAAGCCCCGGUAAACGGCGGCCGUAACUAUAACGGUCCUAAGGUAGCGAAAUUCCUUGUCGGGUAAGUUCCGACCUGCACGAAUGGCGUAAUGAUGGCCAGGCUGUCUCCACCCGAGACUCAGUGAAAUUGAACUCGCUGUGAAGAUGCAGUGUACCCGCGGCAAGACGGAAAGACCCCGUGAACCUUUACUAUAGCUUGACACUGAACAUUGAGCCUUGAUGUGUAGGAUAGGUGGGAGGCUUUGAAGUGUGGACGCCAGUCUGCAUGGAGCCGACCUUGAAAUACCACCCUUUAAUGUUUGAUGUUCUAACGUGGACCCGUAAUCCGGGUUGCGGACAGUGUCUGGUGGGUAGUUUGACUGGGGCGGUCUCCUCCUAAAGAGUAACGGAGGAGCACGAAGGUUGGCUAAUCCUGGUCGGACAUCAGGAGGUUAGUGCAAUGGCAUAAGCCAGCUUGACUGCGAGCGUGACGGCGCGAGCAGGUGCGAAAGCAGGUCAUAGUGAUCCGGUGGUUCUGAAUGGAAGGGCCAUCGCUCAACGGAUAAAAGGUACUCCGGGGAUAACAGGCUGAUACCGCCCAAGAGUUCAUAUCGACGGCGGUGUUUGGCACCUCGAUGUCGGCUCAUCACAUCCUGGGGCUGAAGUAGGUCCCAAGGGUAUGGCUGUUCGCCAUUUAAAGUGGUACGCGAGCUGGGUUUAGAACGUCGUGAGACAGUUCGGUCCCUAUCUGCCGUGGGCGCUGGAGAACUGAGGGGGGCUGCUCCUAGUACGAGAGGACCGGAGUGGACGCAUCACUGGUGUUCGGGUUGUCAUGCCAAUGGCACUGCCCGGUAGCUAAAUGCGGAAGAGAUAAGUGCUGAAAGCAUCUAAGCACGAAACUUGCCCCGAGAUGAGUUCUCCCUGAGACUUUAAGUCUCCUGAAGGAACGUUGAAGACGACGACGUUGAUAGGCCGGGUGUGUAAGCGCAGCGAUGCGUUGAGCUAACCGGUACUAAUGAACCGUGAGGCUUAACCUU